GUGCCAGCAGCCGCGGUAAUACCGGCAGCUCGAGUGAUAGCCACUAUUAUUGGGCCUAAAGCGUCCGUAGCCGGCCGAACAGGUCCGUCGGGAAAUCCACCUGCUCAACAGGUGGACGUCCGGCGGAAACCAGUCGGCUUGGGGCCGGGAGACCAGAGAGGUACGUCCGGGGUAGGAGUGAAAUCCCGUAAUCCUGGACGGACCGCCGGUAGCGAAAGCGUCUCUGGAGAACGGACCCGACGGUGAGGGACGAAAGCUAGGGUCUCGAACCGGAUUAGAAACCCUCGUAGUCC
rnacentral:rRNA from 1 species